ACCACCAAACCCCACAUCACACUGUCUUCAUAUUUUUUAUUCGACAGAACAAAAUCAUCAACAACAAAAAAACAACUAAAUUUAACCUUAAAAAUAUAAUAUUUUCACCUUUUUUUAAUUUUAAAUCCAAAAUUUAUCAGAUUCCUAGGUAUCAUUCCUUUUCCUUCUUCUUUCCUCUUUUCUUUUUUGUCUACAAAUUCACUUUCCCUUCUUAUUUAUUUAUUAUAUUAUAUUAUUUAUUUUAUUUUUAUUAUUAUCAUUGUUGUUGUUUUUCCAGUGUUUGGUUUUUCAUAUAA